UACGGGGGGGGCAAGCGUUGUUCGGAAUUACUGGGCGUAAAGGGCUCGUAGACGGCCAACUAAGUCAGACGUGAAAUCCCUCGGCUUAACCGGGGAACUGCGUCUGAUACUGGAUGGCUUGAGUUUGGGAGAGGGAAGCGGAAUUCCAGGUGUAGCGGUGAAAUGCGUAGAUAUCUGGAGGAACACCGGUGGCGAAGGCGGCAUCCUGGACCAAUAUUGACGCUGAGGAGCGAAAGCCAGGGGAGCAAACGGG
rnacentral:rRNA from 1 species